UUCAAGUGCUGUCACGGCUCGAACCCUAAAAAGUAAAAGCAGGCAAAAAAUCAAAAAAUUUUCCACCAGCCAAAGAUAUUUUCUCAAACGAAAGAUACUAUCUUUCUCCUUAAUUUAAGUUGUUAAAAGAUCGAGACUUUUGAACCAAGGCCAUUGUUUCUGUUAUGGCUGGUCAAAGAAAUGAUUAUGGAAAAAGAUCCCAUUUUCAAUCUGAUUAUGGAAAUGGAGGAGGAGGGGGUAAAAGAAGGAAUUCUGGUGAUGAAAGUGAACAGCAUGGGAUUGGGUCUGAAGAUACCGUUUACCGUUACUUAUGUCAUGUGAAAAGGAUUGGGAGCGUUAUAGGGAGAGGUGGUGAGAUUGUGAAACAGUUAAGGUCAGAUAGUCAGUCAAACAUUAGGAUUAGUGAAGCUAUGCCGGGUUGUGAGGAGAGGGUUGUUAUGAUUUAUAGUUCCAGUGAGGAAACGAAGCCGUUUGGUGAUGGUGGCGACGAGCUUGUUUCGCCUGCUCAGGAUGCUUUGUUUAGGGUACACGAUAGGGUUGUUGCGGAAGAGUUGCCUGCUGGUGAGGAAACACAAGUGGUUACUGUGAGGAUGCUUGUGGCGUCUGAUCAGAUUGGUUGUGUUAUUGGGAAAGGUGGUCAAGUGAUUCAGAAUAUAAGGAGCGAAACACAUGCUCAGAUUCGGGUUUUAAGUAAUGAGCAUUUACCUCUAUGCGCUUUGAGCUCUGAUGAGCUUCUUCAGAUAAUUGGAGAGCCCUCAGUAGUGAGAAAAGCUCUUUAUCAUGUGGCAUCUUGUCUUCAUGACAAUCCUUCAAGAUCCCAGCAUCUGCUUCUCUCAUCUCUAUCUAACAUGAAUCAACCUGGUGGGAUGUACAUGAAUGCUUCCCUGAUUGGUUCUUAUGGCAACUACUCUUCUAGAAGAGAUGAUGCUUCUGCAAGGGAAUUUUCUCUUCGUUUGGUAUGCCCAGUUGGAAAUAUUGGAGGUGUGAUUGGAAAAGGUGGUGGUAUCAUCAAACAGAUUAGACAGGAGUCUGGGGCAUCUAUUAAAGUUGAUAGUUCUGGAGCCGAAGGAGAUGAUUGCAUUAUAUUCAUAUCAACAAAGGAGUUUUUUGAAGACCCUUCCCCUACCAUCAAUGCUGCUUUGCGCUUGCAAUCACGAUGCAGUGAAAAAUUAGAAAGAGAAUCAGGUGAUUCUGUAAUCACCACCCGUCUACUUGUUCCAAGCUCACAGGUUGGAUGCCUUAUCGGUAAAGGUGGGGCAAUAAUAUCUGAGAUGAGGAAUGCUACUAGGGCUAGUAUUCGCAUACUUUCAAAGGAAAACCUUCCCAAAGUUGCACAUGAAGAUGAAGAGAUGGUGCAGAUUACUGGAGGUCUUGAUGUUGCGAGCAAUGCCCUUUCACAAGUAAUGGUGCGGUUGAGAGCCAAUAUAUUUGAAAGGGAGGGAGCAGCAGUGUUUUUGCCUGUCCUUCCCUACAUUCCUAGGUCAUUAGACAUGUCAGAUGGUUCAAAAUAUGGGAACAAAUAUGGUCAACCACGCAAUCGUGGACACACUUCUGCUUCAGGGGAAUAUAGCUCUGGUGAUUUGUCUGCAAGCGACAGUUAUGGAACAUAUAGUGGUUUACUUAGUGGAGGUGACAUCUAUGGAUCUCAUGGUGGUCGCAAUUCUGGCCGGGGAUUGUCCAAUCAGAACCCGGUUUCGCAUAAGAAGCAUGGAUAUUAGUCCCAGAUUCUAGACUCCACAGGUUAGUUUUGGAGGCUGUGUUGUGAAGAGAAAGUUAGAAAGGGAGACAAGGUUAACCUGAACUGGAAUCAAUUGAAGGGGUGAUUUAUAUCGACUUCCUUGGCAUUGGGAGCAGGUAAGCUGUUGUAAUAACUGGUAAGUGACUUCUGUAGUCAAUUGCAAUCUGGUUGUGCUUGUGAUAUAUGCUAAAUAGAGUCAGGCCAAUAUAAUAGAACCAUAAAGAUGAAGUAUGAAUUUGAAAUGAAAAAAUCAUAGUUAUUUUUAAUCUAAAAAAUUUAGAACAAAUUAUUGAAAAAGGUAAUUGAAUAAUCUUUCCCUAAUUUUCUUUUAAAAUCGAUGAAAAAUUGGAGCUGUCUGUGCCACAAUGGUAGCAUACACAGCUUUAGUUUCUAAGACAACAGUCAGCUAGUGAUUUAAGGGAAAUGGUUGCAUCAACUAGGGAGUUUCCAAUGAUCCUUGGCAGCCCAAAAAUUCUAAAAAGGAUACUAAUAAUAAUGAUACUUUGAGACCUGAUGAUUUGUUUGGAUGUUGAAUAUUACAAUUCCAGGGGCCAUAUGUGUUAACUUAAUACUCCUAGCCAAGUCUCCUCCCAACCUUGUCUCUCUUCAUCACAACAACACAUGCUCGAGAGAAAGUUGUUGACUAGAUCCUUAUCAUUAGUGCUUUGAUACGGAUUAAUGCUGUCUUUAAAUUACAAUCUCUUCAUGUGUGGUAUAUCCCUCCCCCACAUAAACUGGCUCGUGUGGAGGUUCAUAGAUUCAUGUAGGCAUGGACUUGUAUGAAUGUAUAUGCAUGGUUAUCCCCCAUUUAGAUGGGAGUUUUAUAGCGACCAUUAGAACACUUUAUACAGUAGUGAGAAUGAUCUGAAAGCCUUUUAAUUCUUCUCGAGUCCUUGUUUAGAGCUCUCAUUUAUGGUGCCAGAACUGUAACUGAAAUGAGAAUUAAUAGAAAUAGCUUCGUUUUUUAAACCUUAUGCAUAUACCUUACUCUCUUA